AAAAUUUGAAGGAAUUUUAAUCAACCAUCUUGGUUCUUCACUCUUCAGGUAACUUCCAACCGUGUAGCGUUUGCGUGGUUUUCCAGCUUUCAGCUUUCCCUUCAACUUCCAUUUCUCUGCCGCGAGCGAGCGAGCGACAGAAUUUGUUUUCGAGCUUGCCAGAAACAGAUAGACACAGAGAUGAGCGCAAAUUUGAGUCGCAGAUCGUCUGAUUUUAUUUCGUUUUCGGCUUUGCUUUCUCUACUAUUCGUCUCCGCCCUUUCUGAUGACUCCACUCCCAAAGAUGGUAUUAAAUCUGGAAAUCAUCCAUCCUCCAGAAGCAACACUAGCUCGAUGAUUGCAAUCAUCCUCCUUGGUCUUUUGGUAGUGGUGUUGUCAUUUUUCCUUUUCAAGUUAUGGCAAAAAAAGAGAAGAGAGGAGCAAUAUGCCCGACUUCUGAAAUUGUUUGAAGAAGACGAUGAGCUUGAAGUUGAGCUUGGUCUUCGGGAUUGAAGGAUAUCUGAAAUUUACUUCACUGAAGUUGGGCUUAGAAAACAUUAUCUUGGAAUUGUUGCAUGUCAAAUGUCUAAAGAUCAUAAGAUGGUAGUUUGCUGUAAGGUUAGUUUUUGUUCUUCUUUUCUACAAUUUUAUGAUGUAUUAGUUUAUCCAAUUGAGGAUAAAAUGAGUGCUUAUAGCAUGUAAAAUUGAUCGAGUUCAGAUAUGUAAAAUUGAUGUUACAUAACGAGUUUAUUAAUGAAAGGGUUAAGUUCUCAAAUA